GCGGGAGUAGCUCAGUGGUAGAGCUCCACGUUGCCAACGUGGUUGUCGCGAGUUCGAACCUCGUCUCCCGCU
rnacentral:tRNA from 1 species